rnacentral:sRNA from 1 species
UUAACAGCCAUGGAGACUGAAGGCCUCCAUUUAUCCACGGAACAGGUCCAGCUUGGGCAGCAGCAAUGUGAGCAUCCACAUCUCACUGGUACCUCCCUCCACACUCGGAGGGUCCCCUUUAGAAGGGACUUGAUUCUCUGUGGCCUACUCAACCCAUGGCCUUU